UACGGAGGGUGCGAGCGUUGUCCGGAAUCACUGGGCGUAAAGGGCGCGUAGGCGGCCUGGUCAGUAGGGGGUGAAAUCCUGCGGCUUAACCGCAGGGCUGCCUUCUAAACUGUCAGGCUCGAGCACGGUAGAGGCAGAUGGAAUUCCCGGUGUAGCGGUGGAAUGCGUAGAGAUCGGGAAGAACAUCAGUGGCGAAGGCGGUCUGCUGGGCCGUUGCUGACGCUGAGGCGCGACAGCGUGGGGAGCAAACAGG
rnacentral:rRNA from 1 species